UAAAGAGGAUCUAUAAACGUUGUUGCGGCGGCCCGGUGGUCACGGGCGGUCGAUGUGGUACUGAUCGUUUGAUCAUAUUUACGCGGUGCGUAGAGAACAUGUGCUCCUUUUUUGUGUGAAUUAACGAUCACUAAGCCCUGGGUCCUGUGCAAUGCUAUUAGCUCGCUGUAUGUUUCUUGCGGUGCGCCGUUGUUGAUUAUCGUAGUGCGGUCCACACGCGCUUCCUUUGUGCCCGGCUCAUGAGAAGUGUUGUACUCUCGCCGCUCCCGCAUCGGCUCACAGUGCACGGAAGAAUGUGUUGAUAGUUGUGCUAUCGCGUGCUGUAGUUCACCGCAAUUCAACACUACGCUGGACGGACUGUUGGUGCAGUCGAUGCGGCGUGAACGGACACGAAGGAGCGCUCGCCUCAGAAGGGAUGUCACAAUUUCCUGAGACGGAGGCAUCUCUGCACCACAAAGGAGACUGCGGCACUAUGCAGCCAGAACAGCACGACAAAGCAUCUGAUCUGCCUGCUUUGACAAGAUGUGGCUGGGCCUGCAGAAAGAGUGUAAGCACACUACUGUGUUGCUGAUCAGUGCUGGUGCUGAUCUCUACGUCUGAGUUGGCCUCACAACGUCCAGGCGCCACUGUGCUUUGCUUCAUUGACAAGGUGUGGCUGGGCCUGCAGAAAAGCUGUAAGCAGACUGCAGUGUUGCUGAUCAGUGCUGAUCUCCACGUCCGAGUUGGUCCCACAAUAUCCAGGCACCACGGUGCUUUCACAAGGUUCACAAUCCAAAUGGGUUAUUUAUUUGUGCUAGCAAGUGGAUGUGGGUAAACCAAGCCAAAACGGACAGCACGUUUGCCAGGGAGAUUGCCCAAUGCUUGUGGCAGGCACAUGAAUUAAUCCACAGGAGUGUUACGAGCAAAAUAUGUAUGCGAAAGCUAAAGGAAGGUGGUGAGGCCAAGCCAGCGUUGACACCACAAAAACUUGGUGCAUAUCUAAAGGCAUACGAGCACUUUGUUUCAAAAACGCCAAGCACCGUGGAUACAGAGGCAAGGAGGCUGAAGGACCUGAACAAGCACCUGGCCACCAUGCUUCGGGAUGCAAAAUAAAGAUGGUUUGUGUUAA